GUGAUGAGGCUGCAUCGUCCUCCGGUUUGGAGGACGUUCGUGGAAAAGUUUCACCCUGAAUUCCGUGUUGGCAUGCAGGCGGUUUGCUCUUUAUCGUGUGGUGCGAAAGACCGAGGCAGCCUCUCCACUGACUGCUUUCAGAUCUCCAAGCACGGGCUACGUGGACAAGGAAAAGGCUGUGUGGCGCAAAGCAGGCUGCACAGUUGUUGACGGAGUUUGGCGGUGCCCUCAGGGCUGUCCUUGUCUUCAAAGUUGAUGCAUGGCAGGGACCAUGUGUCAAAAAGGGGGAAUGAUAGCUGCGAUAAAGCAUUGGUUUCUCUAAUUACUCUUAAAAAAUAAAUAAAUAAAAAUAAUCAUUUUGUUUACGAUCUUUGCGCAACUCAUAACGUGGGUUGAGGUUUGAAGGUAGAGAAGGCCACGUCCCUACGUCCAAACAGGACUCAGACGCUGUAGUGAUAAUGAUAAUCUCCAGUGAUAAUGCCACACCUUUUGCGAGCCAUUCCCUUAAGUAGGUGGGUGAAUAUAUCUGUAUUGACUUAAAGCAGCACUGUGCAUAUCAUCCAGCUAGUGGUGCGGUGGUAGAGAGUGAAAAUGGGACACUAAAAAACAGAUUGAGCAAAUGCUGUUAUGAAGCAGGCUUAGGAUGGGCUUAGCCCCUUUGGGAUACUGUUUGGGAGGCGUCCACACACAGGAGUUGGGCCUGUGACAGCUCCUCUUCCCGAUGCUGCAGCAUGUGAUGAUGCAAUGUUAAAUUACUGUGCAACCCUGUCCUCUGCUCUGCACUCUAUCCACAAGCAGGUAAAGGCAGCACUUCCAGCUCCAGCCACGGGUCCGCUGCAUGAACUGAAGCCCAGAGAGUGGAUCGUGAUCAAGGACUUCCACAGGACCAGGUGGAACAAGCCAUGGUGGUCGGGGCCAUUCUAGAUCCUUUUUGUCACCCGCUCCAUGGUAAAGGUUAGCCGGAGAGCCACAUGGGUGCAUGCGAGCCACUGCACUGGAGGGUGCCAGAGCCAAGCAUUGAGCUGGAGAGGACGGGAUUGCAAUAGGAGAACUAGACCAUAAUUCUCUAUCAAGAGGCCUCUAGGAGGACCUACGCUCACGAGCAACGAUCUGCAUAUACACGCCCACACACAUGACACAUUACACCCUGACACAUCAACACACCAAUCCCACGCGACUCCACGAUAGACGGUCUUAAGUGAUAUCUGGUAGCCUGCGAAAUCACGAACAUGUAGUUUUUGGAGAAAAUAUUGACGACACGGAAACUGUACUCUUAGGAGGACUGAACUUCAUUAGUGCGUAUUAUAUAGCCGCGUGACCAGGACAGAGGUUAGAUGACGUGACUUUGCUUCCACACCUCUUAAUCCCCAAAGCUCCCUGACCACAGACUACUGUUGAAGACUAGACACAAAUCAUUAGAUGUUGACCUGCACAUCCACUCAUACAUACAAACCUAUUCCUAAUCAUGCACCCUUCCCCUGGUAUAGGUGGUAUCGGUUAGUAAGCCCUGUCAUAGAAGUAAACUCACAAAUCACUGGGACUGUUCCCGACAACACUGGGGGUCCAGGGGUAGACCCUUAAGCUGGAAAGAUAAACCAAAGCGCGAUAUUGAAGUUAUUGGGUGGAAGACUUAUUGAUCAAUCAUGCCAAUCACAUCGUUGCAGCAGAAAGAGUGCAUGACGCACACACUUUUACACAAAUUUGGUAUUUAGCUGAUCGUGGUGACAGGACUAAGUGCCUAAGACGACAUGAUUUCUAUAGGUCCCACAUAAGCUUACGAAGUUCUUUAGUAGACUAUUGCUGCAGAUUGGACGACAAUUAGUAGUUAAAAGCCCGUAUGCCAAGAUAUUGGCCGUCUCUGUAAACCGUUCUGUAUCACCUUUGGUCAUAAGAAUCAUUGCCAACAGUGCUACCCACACAACAUCACAUGUCCCCUUGUCACACAGACACAUAAUUGUUAUUCUGUCAUUGAACGCAUGCGGUCUGCGAUACGCAACCCUCCACAGACUAGCGAGACGGGGUUUGAUUGGCUGAACUCAGUACUUGGGGGAUGGGGCUCGUGGAUAUUAACCGUCUAUCUACCAAUAGGUGCAGUAAUUCUUCUUGCCUUGCUCAUUUUGCCUUGUAUUGUUUCUCUCAUUCGGAGCAGUCUCUCACACUCGUUGAAAUCGCUAAUGACCAAACGCUGAUGUUGACAAAGACUGAGUACGAUCCCUAUGAUGACCAACCUGACUUGUGUCCUAAACCUGACUGGGUAUCAGAUCCUCCCAGCGACACCGACGAUGACGACCCAUUGACAUUCAUUUCACACCUAUUGUAAAUAUGCAUUUGACCAUGACGACUCUCAUUUAACUCUAAAAUAAGCUUGCUUGACUACAGGAUAUUUUAUAUCUGCAAAAACAGCCUUAGCGCUUUCAUUAUGUCUGUUUUAUGAUGAAUUCAGUUGAACCAUGAAAGGAUUCUGAAGUUCUGAUGUACUCAUAGUAUUUGCUUUAUGCUUUAUUCUAUCCUGUAUUAACCAUCUUUCUGAAAUAAACCUUUUUUUACCUUCA